CACAGGAAGGAGGGGCUAGUCAGAGCACAGGGAGGAGGGGCUAGUCAGAGCACAGGGAUGUGGGGCUAGUCAGAGCACAGGGAUGUGGGGCUAGUCAGAGCACAGGGAGGAGGGGCUAGUCAGAGCACAGGGAUUUGGGGCUAGUCAGAGGACAGGAAGGAGCGGUUAUGGGGUGGAGCUAGUCAGAGCACAGGGAGGUAGGGCUAGUCAGAGCACAGGGAGGUGGGGCUAGUCAGAGCACAGGCAGGAGGGGCUAGUCAGAGCACAGGGAGAAGGGGCUAGUCAGAGCAAAGGGAUGUGGGGCUAGUCAGAGCACAGGGAGGAGGGGCUAGUUAGAGCACAGGAAGAAGGGGCUAGUCAGAGCACAGGGAGGAGGGGCUAGUCAGAGCACAGGGAUGUGGGGCUAGUCAGAGCACAGGGAGGUGGGGCUAGUCAGAGCACAGGGAGGAGGAGGGACUAGUCAGAGCACAGGAAGGAGGGGCUAGUCAGAGGGCAGGGAUGUGGGGCUAGUCAGAGCACAGGGA
ensembl:lncRNA